rnacentral:lncRNA from 1 species
UUUCUCAAUUAUUUAAAAAUAUAAAAAUCAUCCUUAGCUUGCAAGCCAUACAGAAACAGGUGGUGGGCUGGAUUUGGCUCACAGGCUGAAGUUUGCCAGCCCCUGCUUUAGACCAUGGUGAGUAUGUUGGGCUUCACAUCAGUUCAGAAGGCCUGUUUACUGUGUGUAUAAGAACGUUUUCCCAAAAAGCCAGUGCAGGCCCUGAAAGCAUUAACCAAGCAGGCAGGCUAACAUGAUGCAUCUCCUUGCAGGAUGGUACCCGAGUCGUAGGGAAAUGCGGUGGUUACUGUGGAAAAUGCACUCCAUCCUCUGGUACUGGCCUGGAGGUGCGAGUUUUAUAGCUAAGGUGCUUUGAAGAGGAAGCCAUUAUGGAUGGAUGAAGGAUAGUAAUGCAAUACCUCCACCUUAAUUUGGGUGCAUGUGUAUGUGUGUGUGUGUUUGUGUGUGACUUGUAUGCUUGUGUGUGUAAAUGUGUGUACAUAUACAUAUAUACAUAUCUACACAUACAUAUAUACACAUAUAUGUGUGUAUGUAGAUAUGUAGACUAUCCUAAUGAUGUAAAGUUUAAUAUUUAUGUUUGAAAUUAUUUAUUGUGAUGUAAUAUUUUUGUACGUAAAAUGAUUCUAUUAUGACUGCCUUUGCAUGUAGUAAUAUGACAAAGUGAUCCUUCAUUAUCACGGUACACUAUUGUUUACUUUUCAUCUGUAAAUGUUUUAUUGUUACUUUUUUAAAAUGAAUUUUUUUAAAACAAUCUAGCCAUCAUCAAGGUGCUAUAAGAGUUGUAUAAAAGAUAUUUUUGGCAUUUCUAGGCAAGUAUCAGCCAAUAAGUAUGUUAGUGAUAUCACAGAUUGUACCAACUAUUAACUAUGUUAAAUAAGUAUUCAGUUUCAUGUGAUCUCUGGGAAAAAAAUAUGCUGCCUUGGUGCUAAUAUUGUAUGUAUUUAAAUGAUCAUCCGACUCAGAAAUAUAAACACUUUUAAUGAAAGGGAGGAACGGAAGGACAAUUUCCAGUGCACAGAAUCACUUGGAUGAAAUAAGACCAGCUCUUUACCCUUAUUUUUGGAUAUGCCUUUUUUGGAAGAGACUUAGACUUUAUCCUUAUUGUUGUUAGUGUUGUUAAUAUUCGUUGCUUCAGCCCACGGUGCCUUGGUCUCUCCACAAUCAAAUGGAGGAUCCCCCAAGCAGCUUCAUUACAGAGUGAUAUUGGGAAAGUGAGAUCCUCUCACCAUUUUGCCAAGAUACUCUAAAAUGACAUCCAAGUUUACCAGUAGAAAGACACAGGAUGCACAGAAUGGGCAUGACCUUCAGCUCACGAGCACACCUGGAGAAAUUCAGAACCAGGUUCUGAAUCAUCACGAUUGCCUUUUGCAUGAAAACAUCGGCUGGUGAUGUGACUUCUCUUCAGGCCAUGAGCCUAACACCCUGCCGGUUUUCAUGCCCGCUGCAGUAAUGGACGUUUGUGUGAAGAAAUGAACUGUGGAGUACAAAAUGCUUUGAGUCUUUCCGAUUGCUCAUUAAUUCACUUUUUUGUUACUUCUUUCCAAAAUGGAAGUGCUGAAGCCAUGGUCUUUCUGCCCCUCCAAGCUGAUGAAGGGAAGCCUUUGCCAAUGGCCCAUGGAAGACACUUGGUUUGAGAAACCCUGCCCACUUCCAAAGACCAAAGAGAUUAGGAAAAGCCUGGCAGUAUUCUCCAACUCCAAACAAGCUCUAGAGUGCUCCAGGAAAAGUUAUAUUCAGUAUAUGAAUAAGUGUUAUUCUCCAUUAUUAAUGUGUUCUGAAAAUAUAUUAUGAAUAAAUACAUCACCACACCC